GCGGGUGUGGCGGAAUUGGCAGACGCACUAGACUUAGGAUCGAGCGCCUUACGGCGUGGGGGUUCGACUCCCUUCACCCGCA
rnacentral:tRNA from 1 species